CACCGGCUGGAGCGAGGCGGAGCGCGCACAGCUGGCGGCGCUGCUCGCGGAGCUGGCGACGGACGUGUGCCCGUUCGAUCCGGUGCCGACGGC
rnacentral:tRNA from 1 species